rnacentral:rRNA from 1 species
AGCGAACGCUGGCGGCAGGCCUAACACAUGCAAGUCGAACGCCCCUUCGGGGGAGUGGCAGACGGGUGAGUAACGCGUGGGAACGUGCCCAUCGGUUCGGAACAACCCAGGGAAACUUGGGCUAAGACCGGAUACGCCCCUCGGGGGAAAGAUUUACCGCCGAUGGAUCGGCCCGCGUCUGAUUAGCUUGUUGGUGGGGUAAACGGCCCACCAAGGUGACGAUCAGUAGCUGGUCUGAGAGGAUGAUCAGCCACACUGGGACUGAGACACGGCCCAGACUCCGUACGGGAGG